UUGACCUCGGAUCAGGUAGGGAUACCCGCUGAACUUAAGCAUAUCAAUAAGCGGAGGAAAAGAAACCAACAGGGAUUGCCCCAGUAACGGCGAGUGAAGCGGCAAGAGCUCAAAUUUGAAAGCUGGCUCCUUCGGGGUCCGCAUUGUAAUUUGCAGAGGAUGCUUCGGGAGCGGUCCCCAUCUAAGUGCCCUGGAA
rnacentral:rRNA from 1 species